GCUUUCGUGGCGUAGUGGUCAGCAUAGUCGGCGCGUAUUCGAGAGGUCCGAGGUUCGAAUCCCGGCGAGGGCA
rnacentral:tRNA from 1 species